GCAUCUAUAGUUCAAUGGAUAGAACACAAGAUUGCGGAUCUUGGAAUAGAGGUUCGAUUCCUCUUAGAUGUACCA
rnacentral:tRNA from 1 species